UGAUGGUACCUUACUACUCGGAUAACCGUAGUAAUUCUAGAGCUAAUACGUGCGCACAACCCGACUUCUGGAAGGGUCGUAUUUAUUAGAUCAAAGACCGACCGGCUUGCCGACCCUCGGUGAAUCAUGAUAACUUCACGAAUCGCAUGGCCUUUGUGCCGGCGAUGUUUCAUUCAAAUUUCUGCCCUAUUAACUUUCGAUGGUAAGAUAGAGGCUUACCAUGGUGCCGAUGGGUGACGGGGAAUUAGGGUUCGAUUCCGGAGAGGGAGCCUGAGAAACGGCUACCACAUCCAAGGAAGGCAGCAGGCGCGCAAAUUACCCAAUCCCGACACGGGGAGGUAGUGACAAGAAAUAACAAUACUUGGCUCUUUCGAGUCCGGUAAUUGGAAUGAGUACAAUCUAAACCCCUUAACGAUGAUCCAUUGGAGGGCAAGUCUGGUGAACUGCUGACGCCAGAGAUAGUAGGGCAGCCAAAACCUUGGUUGCUAUGCCUGCUAGUCGAGUAGUCGUACAAAUAUGGAAUGGGUUGACUACCGGCGAGAUGACCUGGAACGGGGAAGGCUAACCUGCUGAGCGCAGCAGCAUGCUAAUCCCGUGGCGAGCUAGCAUAGGGUGACUUAUGCCAAGCCGUCGUAACGCACGCAAAGGCAUCGGCACAACUCGGCAGAGUUGGCUUAAGGGACGUGCUAAUCCCAUGCGAAAGCAUGCUCAAAGCACUAGCACCCAUUCUGCAAAGGCUUUGAGGGGCUAAAACAUCUUGAGGAAAUGCUUGAUGUUGCCCGGUAGGUGUCACAUACUGUGACCGUAUGGCCAGCAGCCGCGGUAAUUCCAGCUCCAAUAGCGUAUAUUUAAGUUGCUGCAGUUAAAACGCUCGUAGUCGGUCUUCGGGAGGGCUGCUUCGGUUCGCCUUUUGGUGAUACUGUCGCAGCCCUCUUUACUGCCGGUGCCUGGCUCCUGGGCUUCAUUGUCCGGGACUAGAAGUCGGCAUUGUUACUGUGAGAAAAUUGGAGUGUUCAAAGCAAGCAAACGCUAUGCACACUUUAGCAUGGAAUAACGAUUAUUGGACUCGCGUCCAGUCGUUGGUCUAUGGUCUGCGAGUAACGACCAAUGGGGGCGAUCGGGGGCAUUCGUAUUGCAGUGCUAGAGGUGAAAUUCUUGGAUUUCUGCAAGACGAACAGCUGCGAAAGCGUUUGCCAAGGGCGCUUUCGUCGAUCAAGAACGAAAGUUGGGGGCUCGAAGACGAUUAGAUACCGUCCUAGUCUCAACCAUAAACGAUGCCGACUAGGGAUCGGCGAGGGUUCAAUCAACGACCUCGCCGGCACCUCAUGAGAAAUCAAAGUGUUUGGGUUCCGGGGGGAGUAUGGUCGCAAGGCUGAAACUUAAAGGAAUUGACGGAAGGGCACCACCAGGCGUUAAUGCUCUAGCGCCAGUGACCUGGCAACAGGUUGCUAGUCUUUGAUUACAAAGGCGAGACUGUCAAAUUGCUCGGAAGCCCUAAAACCUUGCUUACCAAGCUGUUUGUGAAAGCAAGCAGUGGCUCAGGUUGCCAAGCCUGAGGUAUGGUGACAACAGCAAUGGGUGACCGGCUAGCAGCCGGGAAAUGGGUCAUGAGCAGCCAAGCCCUAAAGGUGUAGAAACAUACCCAUGGGUGCAGUUCACAGACUAAAUGGCAGUCGGCCAAUGUGCAUGGGCACAUGGGCUUAAGAUAUAGUCGGCCCCCACCGAGAGGUGGCCUGUGAGAGGAAACUGUCACCGGCAGUGGAGAGCUCAUGGGGCAAGGCAAUAGUACAAACUGCUGCAAAUGCAGUUUGGGCACUCUAGAGGGCCUGCUUUGCGGAAUCAGCGGGAGCCUGUGGCUUAAUUUGACUCAACACGGGAAAACUUACCAGGUCCAGACAUAGUGAGGAUUGACAGAUUGACAGCUCUUUCUUGAUUCUAUGGGUGAAACGUUAGUGUUACACUACUGCCCAUCAAAGCACAUGCCCGGAGAGCUGCCGGGGAAAGCAUGCUGCUAGUCGGCACACAUCCGUUAUGGCAAGGAUGUGUGGCCGGCAAGACCAUCGAAUUGCGGGGACACCCUGAGAGCCUGUGCUACCAAGCUGUCAGCCGAAAGGCGCAGUGGCCGGGGUAACGACCUAGGGUACGGUAAAAACGCACAGGAUUGGGCAAUCCGCAGCCAAGCCCCUACGUGCAGUAGCAUAUGGGGAAGGUUCAGAGACUAGGUGGUGGUCGGUCCCCAACACAGCAAGACAUUGCAGUUUGGGGGCUUAAGAUAGAGUCCGUCCACACCGAGAGGUGUACUUGAGAUGAAAGCCCUAGCCGGGCAGGAGCUCAAGUGUGAUGCGCAUCAAAGUGGCUACACAUCAUGGUGCUUAUACAUGAGUCGGUGACUCAAAUGUCGCGACCAUGUUGGCCAUGUUGAGUAGCCAUGCGGCAUCAUGGAGUACGCGGGUGGUGCAUGGCCGUUCUUAGUUGGUGGGUUGCCUUGUCAGGUUGAUUCCGGUAACGAACGAGACCUCAGCCGCUAAAUAGUCACUUCCAGUUCGCUGGUUGGUAGACUUCUUAGAGGGACUUUCACCGUCUAGGUGAAGGAAGCGUGAGGCGAUAACAGGUCUGUGAUGCCCUAGA
rnacentral:rRNA from 1 species